rnacentral:rRNA from 1 species
GUGAGGAAUUUUGCGCAAUGGCCGCAAGGCUGACGCAGCAACGCCGCGUGGGUGACGAAGGCCUUCGGGUCGUAAAGCCCUGUCAGGUGGGAAGAAAGGCUUGGAGAAGCAACGCUUUGAGUUUGACGGUACCACCAGAGGAAGCACCGGCUAACUCCGUGCCAGCAGCCGCGGUAAUACGGAGGGUGCGAGCGUUAUUCGGAAUUACUGGGCGUAAAGCGCGUGUAGGCGGGGAUGCAAGUCUGAUGUGAAAGCCCUGGGCUUAACCUGGGAAGUGCAUUGGAAACUGCAUUUCUUGAGUACUGGAGAGGAAGGGGGAAUUCCCGGUGUAGAGGUGAAAUUCGUAGAGAUCGGGAGGAAUACCAGUGGCGUAGGCGCCCUUCUGGACGGUAACUGACGCUGAGACGCGAAAGCGUGGGGAGCAAACAGGAUUAGAAACCCGGGUAGUCC